GUGUCAGCAGCCGCGGUAAUACAGAGACUGCAAGCGUUAUUCGGAUUCACUGGGCGUAAAGGGUGCGCAGGCCGCCGUGUGUGUGAGGUGUGAAAUCCCGGAGCUUAACUCCGGAACUGCGCCUCAAACUACACGGCUAGAGCAUUGGAGAGGGAAGUGGAAUUCACGGUGUAGCAGUGAAAUGCGUAGAUAUCGUGAGGAACACCAGAGGCGAAGGCGACUUCCUGGACAAUUGCUGACGCUCAGGCACGAAAGCGUGGGGAGCAAAAGGGAUUAGAUACCCCCGUAGUCC
rnacentral:rRNA from 1 species